UGGGGGAUAUUGCACAAUGGGCGAAAGCCUGAUGCAGCAACGCCGCGUGAGGGAAGACGGUUUUCGGAUUGUAAACCUCUGUCUUCGGUGAAGCAACAAAUGACGGUAGCCGAGGAGGAAGCCACGGCUAACUACGUGCCAGCAGCCGCGGUAAUACGUAGGUGGCAAGCGUUGUCCGGAAUUACUGGGUGUAAAGGGAGCGCAGGCGGGGAGACAAGUCAGCUGUGAAAACUAUGGGCUUAACCCAUAAACUGCAGUUGAAACUGUGUGUCUUGAGUGGAGUAGAGGUAGGCGGAAUUCCGAGUGUAGCGGUGAAAUGCGUAGAUAUUCGGAGGAACACCAGUGGCGAAGGCGGCCUACUGGGCUCUAACUGACGCUGAGGCUCGAAAGUGUGGGGAGCAAACA
rnacentral:rRNA from 1 species